rnacentral:rRNA from 1 species
GACGAACGCUGGCGGCGUGCUUAACACAUGCAAGUCGAGCGAUGAAACACCUUCGGGUGCGGAUUAGCGGCGAACGGGUGAGGAACACGUGAGGAAUCUGCCUUCCACUCUGGGAUAACUCCGGGAAACCGGGGCUAAUACCGGAUACUUUCAACUGGCGGCAUCGCCGGUUGAAGAAAGUUUUUCGGUGGAAGAUGACCUCGCGGCCUAUCAGCUUGUUGGUGAGGUAAGGGCUCACCAAGUCGACGACGGGUAGCCGGCCUGAGAGGGCGAACGGCCACACUGGGACUGAGACACGGCCCAGACUCCUACGGGAGGCAGCAGUGGGGAAUAUUGGGCAAUGGAGGAAACUCUGACCCAGCGACGCCGCGUGAGGGAUGAAGGCCUUCGGGUUGUAAACCUCUUUCAGCAGGGAAUAAGCGAAAGUGAAGGUACCUGCAGAAGAAGCACCGGCUAACUAUGUGCCAGCCGCCGCGGUAA